rnacentral:misc_RNA from 1 species
GAUGAAGAACGUAGCGAAAUGCGAUAAGUAGUGUGAAUUGCAGAAUUCAGUGAAUCAUCGAAUCUUUGAACGCACAUUGCGCCUCCUGGUAUUCCGGGGGGCAUGCCUGUCCGAGCGUCAUUGCUGCCCUCAAGCACGGCUUGUGUGUUGGGCCUCCGUCCUCCUCCCGGGGGACGGGCCCGAAAGGCAGCGGCGGCACCGCGUCCGGUCCUCGAGCGUAUGGGGCUUCGUCACCCGCUCUUGUAGGCCCGGCCGGCGCUUGCCGACACAUCAAUCUUUUUUCCAGGUUGACCUCGGAUCAGGUAGGGAUACCCGCUGAACUUAAGCAUAUCAAUAAGCGGAGGA